rnacentral:lncRNA from 1 species
UCGAGCCCUCGCUAUUUUCAGAAGUUGCUUGGAGUCUUCUUCGUUAGCUCUUCCAUAAAGAACACGGUUCUCAGUGCCUGUACUGAUUUUGCAUGCAAUCGCUCUUUCUCUUACUAUUGAGCCUUCACUAUUUUCAUCAUAAGCUACUGAAUCUGAGAGGAGAAUUUUUUUUGUUACUUUGCUCAGCUCUCCGGUGGGUUCUUAUUCCCCCUCUUUCGUUUUCCUUUGUUUUUGGUGGAUUUCAUAGCUAGGUGAAAUUUUGAGUUCCUCUGUAUUUUUAGCCAUGUCCAUGUUUCAAUUUUCAAUGUGAAAUUUUGGAGUUUAGUGUUCUGUGAUUUUGACUGAAUUUUAUUCUGUGUUGCAUGUAUUGCUAUAUCUUGAUGUGACUAAUGAAAGUUAAUUUAUCAUAGUUGAAACCUGCAAAUUUGGUCUUGAUCUUUUUGUAGCUUUUAAUUACUUAUGGAUCUGUAGUCAGACGAUUUAUUUCUUUUUAAUAUGCCUAAGUUUCUUGAUUCCAGUUUCAUGUUAUCGUUGGCAUUUGCACUAUAGUUGUGGUGAAUUUUUCUAUAAUUCUAGCUUCUUCUUUUCUUAAAUGCGCCCAAUGGCUGAUGAGACUUUGGUGGGCAUCUGUUUGUUCCUCUGUAUGUUUGGACAUUUUGUUGUUGGAGUUUCACAUGCAUGCCUAUAACUAUAUUACAUUUGCACACUGAUGCACCGAGAAUAUUCGAUAAUAUACCUAAAUCAACUGAAUUUCUUUUACUUCUAUUAUUUAUCCCCUUCUCUCUCCUUUUAAUUAAAAGUGCUACGGAAAUAUAAUAAAUAUGUUUACCAACACUACAAUUUGUAAUCUUUUAUCUCCAAAAUGACUGAGAAUUGAAAUUAAUUUGGUAAUUAUAUGCUUAUAGCUUUAACUUUAUUAGUGCAUAGAUAUAUAUAAUAAUAAUUUCGUCGUGAUAUUGGUUGUUUUCAUUAUAUACGUUUUUAUGUAUUCAGUCUUAUGUACUUUUGUGCAACAUCAGGUUCACAUAAAUAAUUUUGAUUACUGACGCACUAUGCACAUCCAAGUUGUUUUGAUCAUAUGCGUCAACUCCCUAACAAUUUUUGAUGUAUUAUUUUUUUCAACAGGUUUACUACAACAUUCUGAUCCAUCAUUUCAAUAAUCCAAAAGGUACGUUAUUUACUUCUGCUGGACAUCAUCAUUCAACAUCAUAUCUUCAUUUAUAGUCGUGUUAAAGUAUUUUACCCUUCUUCUUUUUUUAAACUUUGUGUUAACUAAAAAAUACGAUCUAAAGUAUGAGUUUCAAGUUAUACUAUUCUAUAAAAUUAAUUUAACAAACUAUAUAUUAUUUGAAACAGGAAUGUGCGAAAAUAAAGAUACUAUGGAUUUACGCCGGAGACCUCAAAUAUCUCCGCUCGAUUUGAUUACUUACAUUUCUUCCAAAACCUUUUACAAUUUUGACUAGGUACAUUGCGAUUAUACAUAUAUUCUGUAUGAAGUGCAAACAAGUAAUUUUUGCACAAGCCUUUAUGCCAUUAAAAAUAGAGACUACCUGUUCUUAGAUUUGGAGAUGUGUAAUAUGGAGGAGCAGCACAGUACCAAAGAGGUUAGUAUGAAGAGUUUAUCAGAUGGGCUAAUGAAUCCUUGAUAACUGACAUGGUUCCCAUAAACCGCUGUUUUUAUCUUGCUUUGCCUCCAACUGUACCCCGAGAGAAUAUCUAAUGAAGCUAAUCAUAUUAUCUGCAAAGCAUCCGGCGACUGAGAUUACUUUUCAUAGUUAUAACUAUAACUGUAUUAGUGCAUACAGAUAUGCAAAGAUUUCUUCUUUGAUAUUGGUUCUUUCUUAUGUACUUUUGUGCAACAUUAGGUUCAUAUAAUGUCUUUUAGUACUGCCGUGCUGUGCACAUCUAACAUGUUUGAUCAUAUGCUUGAUUUCAACAGGUUUACCACAAAAUUCUCAUCCAUCAGCCAACAACUACGCUAUUUACUUCUGCUUGACAUCAUGAGCCAACAACAUAUCUCUACAUUUAUAAUCGUGUUAAAUAAAUAUGUUUCAAAUGCAUGCAUUUGUUCUCAUUUGUCUUUCUGUUAGAGUAUUUUACUAUUUUUUAACUUUAUGUUAACAAAAAAAUUAAUUUUGAAGUUUGGUUAUAGAUUAUACUAACCUAAAAAAUUAAUUUAACAAUAGUAUACAUUAUUUUAAGCACGAAUGUCUGAAAACAUAGAUACUGUGAAUUUACGCCAGCGACCUCAAAGGAAGAUCGAAUUGUUGAUAGAAAUUUGCGUCGUCGUGCUAGAUAUGUACAAAUGUUGCCUGCGAGAAAAUAAUUAUUUUUGUCCCAACUACGAGAUAAAAGAGCUGAAUUGAAAAAAUAAAAUCUCAGUGACUUAGGAGAAAUAAAGAAUAUAUAUUUGGAUCUUAGAAGUAGUUCCCAUUUUCAAGAAAGAGGAAAAAGAUCGUGUGAGUGUAAAGUAGUGCGUGUGUGCCUUCUUCUUUUUCCUGAAGUUUUUCCUCUUUCAGAAUAAUAUCCUCUUUUUUAUCAUCCAUCUAACUGCUGAGAUUCUUCUGGUGUUUUAUAUUUUUCUAGCAUAUGGCUGGAGAAAUUGGCAUGUUCUCGAAGUGACUGAAACUUUGUGGUUGCUUCAGCUGUGUAUGGACGCCCUCCUGUAACAAUUUUAUGUGGAUCUUUCUAACUAUCAAAAAAAUUAUUUCCGGGAAUUUUCUUUGGCUCAUUAUGUGCCCAGUGCACAAGCAGUAGCAAAGAAGAACAAGAUAAACAUUCUGCAGCACAAUGCAGUUAUAGAAAAUUUUAGCUUUUACGAAAGAAAGUCUAAUAAUCGAAAUGGUUUAAGUUCUUUUUAUUUUGCAGAAACCACUUCAAGUAGUUGUAUCAAGAAAAGGUGUCCCACCAUAAACAUCAGCAAGAACAGGCAUCUGAUAAUGCAAGAGCUGAAACUUGGGUGUGAUAAUUACAGCUGAGGAAGUAAAGAUUCUUCAAGAGAGACCCUUGAGCAGAAGGAAAGCAAAGAAGACUAGAAAGGUCUGGCAAUUCUCUGGAACAAAACUUACCUAAUUUUAAUUGCUACUAAGAUACCAUUAGUAGCAUCACAAGAUGAGAAUUUACCAGUUUCUUUUAAGAUAAUACAAUUUUCAUUAAGGUUAUGUUUCGCUAUAAGAACGUUAAAUUUUUGUUGGAAUUUAUUUACGUGAACCAGCUUUUUCACACGGUCAAUUUUACAUUGCUUUAUCUAGAGCAAAAGGUUCAGAGAAUGUAAAACUACUAAUAUGUCCACCCACAACAGAGGACACCGAUGAUCAUUCUACAUACAAUGUAGUUAUGGAGAAAUCAUUCGGAAAGCAUUCUCAUCUUGAUUUCUUCAUUGACAAGUUUUUUUUCAAUAUUCCCUUAAUACAUCCAAUGUUAGUCUUUUCCAAAUAUAUUCGGAAAGACCGUUCUACAUUUUCUUCAUCUUUUUUGGAUUGAAUUAGGAUAAAUAAUCAGUAAUUGCUCCAAAAGGUCUGGAUUGGAGUAAGCUUUUCUAAUAUUUUUACAUUUCAAUUGCUCUUGCAGGUUGCUGUUUAAACUGGAAUGCUGAAUUUUUUGUUUACUCCACUGACUUUGGGAGACUUGGAUCUGUUAAAUAGAGAUCAUGUAAGUCUGGAUAAUUGUACUUACGCAACCUAGAAAAACCUCUGACUUUGGUCUGAGGUUCAUUAUAAUAACUGAGAUUACUUAUUGUUAAGAAGCCAGAUCGUAGGGCAGAAGUUUUCACCAAAAUCAAUGUUAGUUCUUAUUUAGGACAGUG